CUGGGUUAUACUGGGAUGGAUUAACUGGGAUAAACUGGGUUAUACUGGGAUGGAUUAACUGGGAUAAACUGGGUUAUACUGGGAUGGAUUAACUGGGAUAAACUGGGUUAUACUGGGAUGGAUUAACUGGGAUAAACUGGGUUAUACUGGGAUGGAUUAACUGGGAUAAACUGGGUUAUACUGGGAUGGAUUAACUGGGAUAAACUGGGUUAUACUGGGAUGGAUUAACUGGGAUAAACUGGGUUAUACUGGGAUGGAUUAACUGGGAUAAACUGGGUUAUACUGGGAUGGAUUAACUGGGAUAAACUGGGUUAUACUGGGAUGGAUUAACUGGGAUAAACUGGAACCGCCCGCCUCGGUGUCCUCCAGCAACAUCUGGAAUGGAGAAACUGGGAGAGACUGGGAUUAACUGGGUUAUACUGGGAGUACUGGGAGCUCCCGCCUCGGCGUCCUCCUGCAACAUCUGGGACCAGGAAACUGGGAUGAACUGGGUUAUACUGGGAUAAACUGGGUUAUACUGGAACGGACUGGGAUUAACUGAAACCUCCCGCCUCGGCCUCCUGCAGCACCUGCAGCGGGAAAUGGGGGCUGGGAGACACCGACCCCAGGUGUGCCCAGGUGUGCCCAGGUGUGCUCAGGUGUGCCCAGGUGUGCUGUGAGUGCCCCCAGGUGUGCCCAGGUGUGCUGUGAGCGCCCCCAGGUGUAUCCCAGGUGUGCCCAGGUGUACCCAGGUGUAUCCCAGGUGUACCUAGGUGUAUCCCAGGUGUACCCAGGUGUACCCAGGUGUACCCAGGUGUAUCCCAGGUGUGCCCAGGUGUAUCCCAGCUGUGCCCAGGUGUAUCCCAGGUGUGCCCAGGUGUGCCCAGGUGUAUCCCAGCUGUACCCAGGUGUAUCCCAGAUGUACCCAGGUGCCCCCAGGUGUGCUCAGGUGUAUCCCAGGUGUAUCCCAGGUGUAUCUCACCUUGUCCAGCAGCUCGCGGGUCUCGUCGGUGAGCGGCGCGUGGGAGAACAUGCCAGAACUGUGACCCUGCUGUGCUGUGAGUGCCCCCAGGUGUGCCCAGGUGUAUCCCAGGUGUAUCCCAGGUGUACCCAGGUGUACCCAGGUGUGCCCAGGUGUAUCCCAGGUGUACCCAGGUGUGCCCAGGUGUGCCCAGACCCCCCCCCCCCCCCCCCCCCCCCCCCCCCCCCCCCCCCCCCCCCCCCCCCCCCCCCCCCCCCCCCCCCCCCCCCC
rnacentral:lncRNA from 12 species